rnacentral:rRNA from 1 species
UAUUAAAGGUCCGACCUGCCCAGUGAAAUCUUUAACGGCCGCGGUAUCCUAACCGUGCAAAGGUAGCAUAAUCACUUGUCCCUUAAAUGAGGACUUGUAUGAACGGUCACAUGAGGGCCUAACUGUCUCCUGCAACCAAUCAAUGAAAUUGAUCUUACAGUACAAACGCUGUAAUACCACUAUAAGACGAGAAGACCCUGUGGAGCUUUAAAUUAAUACAUUAAUUUUAUAAAAAAUAUAAUGUAACUUUUUAGUUGGGGCGACUGUGGAGAAAAACAAAACCUCCAUGUAACACGACUUGACAUCGUAAUGCCAGGCCAACAAGCCAAGCCAAUAAUACAUGACCCAGUAAAACUGAGCAUCGAACCAAGUUACCCCAGGGAUAACAGCGCCAUCCCCUUAAAGAGCCCACAUCGCAAGGGGGGUUUACGACNGNAAUGUUGGAUCAGGACAUCCUAGUGGUGCAGCCGCUACUAAAGGUUCGUUUGUUCAACGAG